UCCCACGACCUUUGCUGGCUUUAGAAGCCUUAAGUGUUGUUGGACAUGGACACUUGCUCCAGAACCGUUUAAAUUGUUGUUGGAGCCAGCCUAGACCAGGGGACAAUCCUCCCAUGACCUAUGGUGGCUCCAGAAUCCUUUUAAUUGUUGUUGGUAUUGGUGUGGUACCCCUAUGGGCUCCCAGGACCUUUUAGUUGUUGUUGGUGUUAGUUGGUGCCAGUGGUGGCGGAGCCAACAGAAGGCAUGGGGGCAAUUGGGUUCUGGCUCCAAUAGCCUUUUCUUUUUGUUGUUUGCGCCGGUGGCUGAUUUUGGUGGUGGUGGCAAAGCCUGCAUAAGCCAGUGGUAGAGGUCAAUACCCCUGUUCUUCGUGUUAAUGCUGGUGUUGUGGCUCUGAAGUGGAAGCAAUGAAAUGCUAAAGAACUAAAAAAUACUUCUUCCAUGACUUCGCAGCCAGCAGAAGUUGUUCUGAAGGAGUUGAAAAGAAAAGAUACGGGGUUUAUCUGGUUGGAGGGUGUGUGAGGAAUCUCUUUUUGAAGCAAAUUCCAGAGGAUUUUGAUGUUAUAACUUUGGCUGAGCUUAGAGUCUUUGACAGGUAGUGAAUUCAUUUUCAUGCUGUCAAAGUUGGACGAGGGUUUCCUACCUGCCAUGUGCACGUUGAUGAUACAUUCAUUGAGGAGCGGGAUUUCAUUAUUUGGAGGAAUUGCAUGAAACGGGAUUUCACAAUUAAUGGGUUUUGGCCGUGAUACCCACAUAUAAUUCUUUUCAGAAGGAUUCUGUCUUUACUUGCUAAGCUGGAUUAAUACUUGACGCCUAACAGGCCAUGCCAUCAGCGGUUAUGGUGGUGAGUAAUUUGACUGCUUAGCUUGCACUUUCUGUACCCAGAUCUUAGUUUCUUAUGAUAUUUAAAGUAGUGGUAAAUACAUAUUUUUGUAUUUGGUAGGCUGUUAAAUAGAAAACUGCAUAAUUUGAAAACUUAAAAUCAGAGAAUAA